AUGAGUUAGGGUCUUCUAGGCCCGAUCUCCAACCCUUUGUAUAACUACCAUGUUGCUUUGGCGGGCCCGUCUUUAACCGGACCGCCGAGGGUUUUAAUUAAUCCUUGGCCAGUGCUCGUCAGUAGCCCACUUAAAUUCUUUUUAACCAUGUUAAAUCUGAAAAAUAGUUAAAAUAAACUA
rnacentral:misc_RNA from 1 species